UCCUGUUCUGUUCCGUUCCAAUUACAAAUGCAUGCAGCCCCCAGUCACAUACCCCCUGCUUGCUCAAUUGAUCACAGCCCUCUCACGUGGAACCCCUUAGAGUUUAAGCCCUUAAAAGGGACAGGAAUUUCUCACUUGGGGAGCUCAGCUUUUGAGACGCAAGUCUGCUGAAAUUCCCUGCUGAACAAAGCUCCUUCCUCAUUUAACCCAGCGUCUGAGUUUUGUCUAUGGCUCAUCUUGCUACAUUUCUUGGUUCCCCGACUGGGAAGCGAGGUGAUUGGUGGACGGUAGAGGCAGCCCCUUAGGCAACUUAGGCCUGCCCUAUGAAGCAUACCUGCAGGGGACUCUGACCAGCCUGAGUGAUGUGGAUCCAAAGAGUGCUCCCAGGUAGGCAAUUGCCCCGGUAGGACGCCUCGCCAGAGCAGUAUAUGGCAGACCCCCGUGAGGAUCAACACAGUCGCUGAACACCGGGAAGGAGUUGACACUUGGAGUCCGGACAUCUGAAACUUGUCUUCCAACGUGGGAUGACCCUUGCCAGAUGAUGAUGCCAUGUUCUUCAGCUUUCCAGCCUCUAAAACUUGUCCAUUUGGCUUUUGAAGUUUGAAUGCCAUCAUGUCACUUCAAUGUCACAAGGUUCUAUCAUCUCUACUGCUCUCAGUGAACCCAGUUUUGAAAUGGUUUCUUCUGCCUUCACCCUGGACUACAGAGAGAACCACUGCUGAGUCUUAGAGUGAUGCUGAUUCCUCUCUAACCAGAUCAUUCCUUACUGAUUUGGUAAGCAGUAUAUUCCUGAAGUUUCCUUUGAAAUAUAUUGAUCUGUUGGGUUUUCCAUUUUUAAAU